AUUCUUGAUCAUAAUGUGUUUUAAUGGAGUCCAUAACUUGUCCUCAAGUUAUGGAAAACCAAAAGUCACUUGAAUUAAAAACCAUUAAAAGAACACAAGAGUUAGAAAAAUGAAGAGUCUUCAUUUUUAUUACUCUAUUAAACUCAUAAGUUACAAGAAAUGAAAAGUUUUGAAAGUUUACAAAACUUGCCCUCAAGUUUUGGAACAAGUAAAGUCAUGUUAAAAACUUUAGUUCCAACCCUUAGAAUUUUAAAAGUUAAAAUUCAACCCUUAUACUUAUAUUAUUAUAAUUUAAUAAUUAUAUAUAUAUGUAUAAGAACAAAGUCGUCUUACCGCUAGUACGCCUCAUUCACGAAGCCGGUCUAUAAGGUGGGUAUAAGGUUGUUGCCUAUAAAAUGGUAACUUAAUGGGUGUCCACUCUCACCCACCGCUUGCUUGACCGGUGGAGGGUCGUUAGCCGAACGGGUAAGACAAGGACUUAUUAAUUCUCAUUCAAAGUAUGAUGAAUAUUAUAAAGUAACUAAAUGUUUUAUUAAAUUCCCAAUCUUAGUUACUUUAGGAAAAAUGUGAAUAAGGUGCUAAUCCAUGAAAUUACACUUUACACUUUGUUUAAGUCGUUGGUGGAGCGUGUGUGGUUAACCGGCACACUAACUUGGACUUAACAAGGUAGGUAAAGGGUGACUUAAGGUUUAUUAUAGUAUCGAUGGAGCGUGUGUGGUUUACCGGCACAUCGAUUGAGUGAUAAACUUUAAGGGUACCAAGUGAUUUGCAUGGUUACUUCACACCUCGUUUUGUGAUCCUCGGUAUCCCAGUCACAAAACUUGGAGGGCACACUCGAGAUUGAAACAUGCCUUUGAAAAGUUCAUUGAAUCUCAAAGAAUCUAGGAAUUUCUAAGAACCAUUCAAAAACCUAAUACUAAAAUAUUGCGGUUUUCGUGGUGGAAAUUGGUGAAUCGUCAUUCACCUACCUUUCAAAUAUGAUAUAGCUUAGAUUACGGCAUACCUCUUCUAAGUUAUAUUAUAUUGUGAUUGGAUCCUAGCCUUAAUAUUACAUUUGGGUGUUUUAUUAAGGACUCUCUUAUAUCUAAACUAAUCUUGUCCUCUUUCCUUCAGAUGUCUUUCAACAAUGCUUCUGGCUCUAAUCCUAAUGGCUCCUUUACCCUUAUGAACUUGUGUGGGAAAGUCACCUUUGAUGGAUCCAACUUCAAUGAGUGGAUCAGAAACAUCAGGAUGAUUACCCGCUACGAGGACAAAGAAUAUGUCCUUGACAAGGAGCUUAAGGAGAUUGAUGAGUCCACUGCAACUCCUCAGGAGAUCGCUGAAUUUCGGGCACAUGAAAGGGAUGCUACGAAAGUGGCUUGCAUCAUGAUGGCCACGAUGACAGCGGAACUCCAAAAGUCUUAUGAGGAUUUCUACCCUUAUGAAAUGCACCAAGAUUUGAUGGAAAGAUACCAUCAAAGUGCAAGACAAGAGAGGUAUGAAAUCAUCUGCUCCAUGAUAACAACCAUGAUGAAGGACGGGGAAUCCGUCACGAGCCACAUGCAGAAAAUGCAAAGGUAUGUGGAUCGUUUGCUGAAGCUUAAUGUGAACUUCCCGGAGGAUCUUGCAAUAGAUAUUAUUUUGCAUUCCUUACCAUCGUGCUAUGAUCAAUUCCGCAUGACAUAUCACAUGAACAAGGAAGAAGUCACCCUCAGCAAACUUCAGGGACUUCUCAAGACCGCAGAAUCAGGUCUUAAGGGGAAGUCGGUUGCUAUCACUCCUACUCAAAACUCUACUCCGGUUUUGGCAAUCGGGAAAAGUCGAGGGAGGAAGAGAAAGAGCUCUUCUAAGGGUACCAAGGUUCGGACCCUUGAUGGCUCUUCUUCAAGUGGAACCAAGAAAGGUUUCAUUACUCCUUCUUCUGACCCAAAAGAGGCUGAAUGCUUCUAUUGCCAUGAAAAAGCUCAUUGGAAGCGGAACUGCCCAAAAUACCAGCAAGAUGUGAAGGAUGGGAAAGUUAAACCCAACCAUGCAGGUAUUUACACUAUCAUUUCUAAUAACUCACCCCAUUCUAAUUCUUGGGUCCUUGAUACCGGGUGUGGUAUUCACAUUUGUUGUGACUUGCAGGGACUAAGAAGAAGUGAGGAUGUGGAGCAAGGAAGGAUAAACUUGAUCAUGGGGAAUAGGAAAGCUAUACCUGUUACCAAGAUUGGAGUUUAUACUUUAUCGCUAAGUAGUGGGUUUAGUUUAGAUUUGAAUAAGUGUUGUUAUUCGCCAGGAAUGGCAAGAAAUAUUAUUUCCUUUCAUGCUUUGUACAAACAAGGGUUUACCUUUUCAUUUAAUAAUGAAGUUGGUUCUAUAGAUGUUUUCUAUAAUAAUGUCUUUUAUUUUAAAGCAUUACCUUGUGAUGGUGUGUAUGAAGCUGUAUCUGUUGUAGAUAACUUGGGAAAUAAUGUUUUGUGUAUUGAUUCUACUAAUAAUAACUUGGAUAAAGCAUCUUUAUGGCAUUGUCGUCUUGGACAUAUAAGCAAGAAACGCAUAGGCCAACUCCAAAAGGAUGGAGUCUUGGAGUCGUUUGACCUAAAGUCAGAUGAUAGUUGCGAAUCAUGCUUACUUGGAAAAAUGACAAAGUCACCCUUCACAGGUUCGUGUGAGAGGGGUGAAGGUUUGUUGGACCUUAUACACACGGAUGUGUGUGGACCAUUCAAACAUGCCACAAGGGAUGCUAAUCGUUAUUAUUUGACUUUUACUGAUGAUUAUAGUAGAUAUGGAUAUGUCUACUUGAUCAAGCAUAAGUCAGAGACUUUCGAGAGGUUUAAGGAAUUUAAACAGGAAGUCGAGAAUCAAUUGGGCAGGAACAUUAAGAUGCUUCGAUCCGAUCGUGGUGGUGAGUAUCUUAGUUCAGAGUUCCUCGACUAUCUAAGGGAAUGUGGGAUAGUCUCACAAUUGACACCUCCCAGGACACCACAGUUGAAUGGUGUGGCUGAGAGGCGUAAUCGAACCUUGUUAGAUAUGGUUCGUUCCAUGAUGAGUCGAGCUACGCUACCAAUCUCAUUCUGGGGGUAUGCCUUAGAGACUGCCGCCCAUAUUCUUAAUCUAGUCCCUACAAAGAAAGUUGCCAAAACUCCUCACGAGAUGUGGACUGGUAAAGUACCUAAACUAGACCACAUCAAGAUUUGGGGUUGCGAGGCUUUCGUGAGACGCGAGACUCAUGAUAAGCUCGAACCUCGAAGCGAGAGGUGUAUUUUCAUCGGUUACCCACAGCGAUCCUUUGGUUACCUCUUCUACAGACCUAGUGACAAUGUGGUCUUUGUAGCAAGAAGAGGAGUCUUUCGAGAAAGAGAGUUUAUAAGCCAAGGAGACAGUGGGAGGCAAAUUGAUCUUGAAGAAAUUCAAGAAUCAAGCGGUGAAGGAACUUCAAACUCUAGCCCUCAACUUGAGGAGGAAACUCCUGUUGAGCCAAUUGACAAAUCUGUACCUCUGAGACGUUCCACGAGAGUUAGGAGUGCACCUGAGCAUUACUAUGGAUUCCAUAUUACUGCAGAAGGUGAGACACUUAUUAGUGAUGAGACACUAGUAAGUCAAGAUGACCCUAACAGCUACGAGGAAGCCAUGGCAGGCCCCGAGUCUGCUAAAUGGAAAGAGGCUAUGGAUAGCGAGAUACAAUCCAUGUAUGACAAUCAAGUUUGGAACUUGGUUGAAAAUGUACCAGGUCGUAAGACAGUAGGGUGCAAAUGGGUCUUCAAGAAGAAGACCGACAUGGAUGGUAAAGUACACACUUAUAAGGCUAGACUGGUUGCAAAGGGCUUCUCUCAAAUUCCUGGAGUGGAUUAUGAUGAGACCUUUUCUCCGGUAGCCAAGAUUAAGUCUAUUCGGGUUCUGUUAGCCAUAGCUGCAUUUCAUGACUAUGAAAUAUGGCAGAUGGAUGUCAAAACCGCUUUCCUUAAUGGAAAGUUGGCUGAAGAUGUUUACAUGAGUCAGCCAGAGGGUUUUGUCAGCAACGAGUACCCUAAUAGAGUGUGUAAGCUUGAGAAAUCCAUUUAUGGAUUGAAGCAAGCACCUCGCAGAUGGAAUCUUUGCUUUGAUGAAAAGGUCAAGGAAUUUGGCUUUUCUAGGAGUGAAGAUGAAUCUUGUGUGUAUGUCAAGGCUAGUGGGAGUAUAGUUAGCUUUUUGGUAUUGUAUGUGGAUGACAUACUACUCAUAGGAAACGACAUUCCAACCCUGCAGGAAGUAAAGUCCUGGCUUGGGAAGUGUUUCGCUAUGAAGGACCUUGGUGAAGCUGCCUAUAUUCUAGGGAUAAGAAUCUUGAGAGAUCGGAGUAAAAGACUAAUUGGACUUAGUCAGAGUACCUACUUGGAUAAGGUGCUGAAGAGAUUCAGCAUGCAGGAUUCCAAGAAAGGAGAGUUACCCAUCCAGAGUAACACCAGAUUGAGUAAGACACAAAGCCCUAGCACUGAGGCUGAGAUAGCAGAAAUGAGUCGAACACCUUACGCUUCGGCUGUAGGAUCGAUCAUGUAUGCUAUGACGUGUACUCGACCCGAUGUAGCUUUUGCCUUGAGCAUGGUUAGCAGGUAUCAGGCGAACCCUGGCAAGGCACACUGGACUGCGGUAAAGAAUAUCCUCAAGUACCUACGGAGGACUAAGGACUGGGUCCUUACCCUCGGUGGGAGUGAUGACUUGAGAGUUGUAGGGUAUAGUGAUGCUAGCUUCCAGACUGAUAGGGAUAAUUUCCGCUCUCAGUCGGGCUGGGUCUUUACCCUAAACGGAGGAGCAAUUUCUUGGAAGAGUUCCAAGCAAGAGACAGUGGCAGAUUCUACUUGUGAAUCAGAGUAUAUUGCAGCUAGCGAAGCAGCAAAGGAGGCGAUAUGGCUGAAGAACUUCAUUGGAGACCUUGGAGUUGUACCAGCUAUUAAAGAGCCAAUGGAAAUUUUCUGUGAUAGUGAAAGUGCUGUUGCCUUAGCCAAGGAACCAAGGGAUCAUGGGAGAUCCAGACACAUCGACAGAAAAUACCAUUUCAUUAGACAUCGGAUCGAAGAAGGACUCCUCGUGGCAAAGAGGGUAUCAUCGGAUGAGAACCCAGCAGAUCCCCUCACGAAGGGACUGAGUAGGGUUAAGCAUCUCCAGCAUGCUCGGAGCAUAGGGCUGAAGGAUGAUAUAAGUUUUAGUAGUUAGAUAACCCAGAAAUUUGUAAAGUGUAAUUGACAUUUGAUGAUGAAUAAAAGGUGUUUUAUUUAUGAGUAAAGUGUUGCUAUCUCUUGUCAAUCGUUUACUAUAUUUCUUUUGCAUGUUUUGACUUCCAGAAUAAUUUUGUUUGGUGUAACAUAUUAUUCAAACCUCCACAGUCGGUCAUAUGUCGGAAGUAGGUAUGAAUCAAGACUGUCAUGAUGGGUUGUAGAGGUCUAAGGUGUUGGACAAGGCUACAACAAUCAUGAGUGCUCAUAAGUUCUGAGCAUUGGACUCAACCCACGCUCACUGGAAUCACUUCAUGGAAUUCUAUCUCGAGUGAUCGUGAGACGGUAAUAUCAUAUAAGUCUUCAAACCUAGAGAUAUGAUUUGUUACUUACAAGUUGGUUAUGCAUUGACUGUACGAAACCGCAUUGGUAACUCGAUGUUAUAAAACGUACUUUUGUGUGUAAUUCAAUGAGUGGUAGAACAAACAUAUGAGUCGAAGUUUAUCUGUUCCUUCUUGGAUUAGAAGCUGAUAUCUGGGCCCCUCGAUGAUUUUGUUUUGACCCAUGUACCGGGCCCGGUCAGAACUAAGUUGAUGUGUUCAAUUAAGUUCUAUGUCAAACAAAUCGGAAAUCGGGAAACAAAUGCUGGACAAUAAGCAAGACAAUGUUCCAUGUAUUUGUCCGGCUGAUAUCUAGAACGGAGGAUUAUAUGAUCACUUAUCUUAAAUGGCGUACCAUCAUCUUCUCAGUUCCGAGAGACCUUGAAAGAGCUACGAUUGCCGGUCGGUUCCUGAAGUACUAGAGAUAUAGUUAUUAGACUUAUCCAAGUGGGAGACUGUUGGAUAAGGUGUCUAAGUCCAUAACUAUUUCGGGCUUGUACUUGACCCGACCCGGCAUGGUCCAUUUGGGUUGCAUGGCACCAUGCAAUUGGAUAGACUAAAUGAGAGAAAUAACACUUGGAGAUUAUUAAUAUAUUAUAAGUUCUAAUAUAUUAAUAAUAUUAUUUGAUUAGUUGAUCAAAGAAUUAAUUUGGAAUUAAUUAAGUGAUCAAAGGAUAACUAAUUAAAUAUAUGGGUUGAUUAUGUAAAUCAUCCAUAUCUUGUAUAGUGGGCUAAGAGGCUCCAUGGAUUAUCAAGUUGGGUUCUACCCAUAGGAUGCUCCAUGGAUGCUCCAUGGGAGUUACAAACCCAUGGGUCAUGGAAAUGAAGAGUCAUGACACAUUAGGGUUUACAUGGUGUAACCCUAGAUGUGUCAACACUAUAUAAGAAUCAUAUUCUCCACCAAAAUCGGCUACACUAAGAAACUAGAGGGCUUGGCCGAUUUUGAGAAGUGUGUGUUAUCUCAAGAGUCUUUCCAAGAGCAUUUGGUGUUGUGUGAAGCAUUUGAGGCAUCACACUUGGGGUGCUAGGCUCACAAGGUUUCAAGGAACACAAGCAACAACAAGGUAAGUUAUUCUAUCUAUGAUUCAAGUUAAAAUUGUUCCCCAUGUAUGCUAGAUAGGAAUAUAACCUUGGAAUUCAACUUUGCAUGAUAAUUAGACAAACAUAGAUCCAAGGUUAUUAGGGUUGCAUGUACACUUAGGAAGUGUUAGAAUGCUCAAAACCCAUCAGUGGUAUCAGAGCCUAGGCUUGUUUGUUUGUUAUUUGUGCUUAAAAGUUGAAGAAAGUCGAAAAUCUUGCUGUCUGACUGAUGGACUCGGCGAGUCCAUGGGGAGGACUCGUCGAGUUCAUGUGUAUCUUCAACCUACUCGGCGAGUAGGUUUAUGCACUCGGCGAGUAGGGUCGACAGAGUGCAGAAUUUCGACUUGAGUUGCUGGAAAUGGAUUAGAAUCAUUACCCUAAAAUGUUUUGGUACUUGAAAACUUAUUUUAGAAGGUGUAAUGUCUUUUCUAACUCAUUUACAACAACUAGUUAUCAAAAUUACAAAGAUUAAAUGUGAUUUUGAUUCUUGAAAGUGUUCAUAUUCAUAUUCUUGUUCUUAUGAUGUUUAGAUGAUCAUAGGAAUUAUUUGUAACCUAUGUGGUAGAUUAAUUCAUGAUCAUAAUGUGUUUUAAUGGAGUCCAUAACUUGUCCUCAAGUUAUGGAAAACCAAAAGUCUCUUGGAUUAAAAACCAUUAAAAGAACACAAGAGUUAGGAAAAAUGAAAAGUCCUCAUUUUAUUACUCUAUUAAACUCAUAAGUUACAAGAAAUGAAAAGUUUUGAAAGUUUACAAAACUUGCCCUCAAGUUUUGGAACAAGUAAAGUUAAGUUAAAACUUUAGUUCCAACCCCUAGAAUUUUAAAAGUUAAAAUUCAACCCUUAUACUUAUAUUAUUAUGAUUUAAUAAUUAUAUAUAUAUGUAUAAGAACAAAGUCGUCUUACCGCUAGUACGCCUCAUUCACGAAGCCGGUCUAUAAGGUGGGUAUAAGGUUGUUGCCUAUAAAAUGGUGACUUAAUGGGUGUCCACUCUCACCCACCGCUUGCUUGAUCGGUGGAGGGUCGUUAGCCGAACGGGUAAGACAAGGACUUAUUAAUUCUCAUUCAAAGUAUGAUGAAUAUUAUAAAGUAACUAAAUGUUUUAUUAAAUUCCCAAUCUUAGUUACUUUAGGAAAAAUGUGA
rnacentral:lncRNA from 1 species